ACUCGAGCUGAUCGUAUAAGCCUGGAGUUUUUAUCGCGCUUCAUGGUGCGAAAAGAUUUCUCGCAACUCUUUCUCCGGCGACGACAUUUUUAUUUUUCGUCUUUCUCUCUCCUGAUUUCUUUUCACCAAUUUUUCUACUGCUGGCGAUUGCAAUCCUGUCGGUUGAAGUUGAAUGGGAGAGAGAAAAGGAGCGAGAGAGACGGGAGUGUGUCGUGAAAAAAGUCGCCGGAGUUGAUGUUGCGGUCACAUUUGCAGUUCGGUUUGUUCGUUCGGCUUGAGUUA
rnacentral:pre_miRNA from 1 species